UUGAUUCAUUUGUUUUGCCUUGCGGCGGAUUCAGAAAAACUGGUAGAUACAGGGUUUGGGGGUCCCCGGCGGCCGCCUAGGUCCGCGUCCGGACGCUGGGGCGAGUCCGCCGAAGCAACGAUAGGUAUGUUCACAAAGGGUUGGGAGUUGGAAAACUCGUUAAUGAUCCCUCCGCUGGUUCACCAACGGAGA
rnacentral:misc_RNA from 1 species